UACGUAGGUGGCAAGCGUUGUCCGGAUUUACUGGGCGUAAAGAGCGCGCAGGCGGUCGUUCAAGUCGCGUGUGAAAGCCCCCGGCUCAACUGGGGAGGGUCACGCGAUACUGAUCGACUCGAAGGCAGGAGAGGGUAGUGGAAUUCCCGGUGUAGUGGUGAAAUGCGUAGAUAUCGGGAGGAACACCAGUGGCGAAAGCGGCUACCUGGCCCAUUCUUGACGCUGAGGCGCGAAAGCUAGGGGAGCAAACGGG
rnacentral:rRNA from 1 species